CUAAGGAGACUGCCGGUGACAAACCGGAGGAAGGUGGGGAUGACGUCAAAUCAUCAUGCCCCUUAUGACCUGGGCUACACACGUGCUACAAUGGAUGGUACAAAGGGCAGCGAAGCCGCGAGGUGAAGCGAAUCCCAUAAAACCAUUCUCAGUUCGGAUUGUAGGCUGCAACUCGCCUACAUGAAGCCGGAAUCGCUAGUAAUCGCGGAUCAGCAUGCCGCGGUGAAUACGUUCCCGGGCCUUGUACACACCGCCCGUCACACCAGGAGAGUUUGUAA
rnacentral:rRNA from 1 species